rnacentral:snRNA from 1 species
ACACUGCCGGCAGGGAACGCCGCGCCACCGAGGCGGCUUUCCCAGGGCGAGGCUGAUCCAUCGCUCUCCAGGCCUGCCGACGACUCCUGCGGUCUCCCCAAGGCGGGAAACCCGACUGCCUGGUUGUGGUAGUGGGGGACUGCAUUCCGCUUCACCCUG